rnacentral:rRNA from 1 species
GUGAACGCUGGCGGCGUGCUUAACACAUGCAAGUCGAACGGACUUAAGGGGCUUGCUUCUUAAGUUAGCGGCGCACGGGUGAGUAAUAUAUAGCUAACCUGCCCUUUAGUGGGGGACAACAGUUGGAAACGACUGCUAAUACCCUAUACUCCUUCUUACUAUAAGGUAAGUUGGGAAAGAUUUAUCGCUAAAGGAUGGGGCUUUAUUGUAUCAGCUAGUUGGUGGGGUAAUGGCCUACCAAGGCUAUGACGCAUACCUGGUCUGAGAGGAUGAUCAGGCACACUGGAACUGAGACACGGUCCAGACUCCUACGGGAGGCAGCAGUGGGGAAUAUUGCACAAUGGAGGAAACUCUGAUGCAGCAACGCCGCGUGGAGGAUGACGCAUUUCGGUGUGUAAACUCCUUUUAUAGGGGAAGAUAAUGACGGUACCCUAUGAAUAAGCACCGGCUAACUCCGUGCCAGCAGCCGCGGUAAUACGGAGGGUGCAAGCGUUACUCGGAAUCACUGGGCGUAAAGGAUGCGUAGGCUGGAAAUCAAGUCGAGAGUGAAAUCCAACGGCUCAACCGUUGAACUGCUCUCGAAACUGGUUACCUAGAAUAUGGGAGAGGUAGAUGGAAUUAGUGGUGUAGGGGUAAAAUCCGUAGAUAUCACUAGGAAUACCGAUUGCGAAGGCGAUCUACUGGAACAUUAUGACGCUGAGGCA